GGAGAAUUGGCUCAAUUGGUAGAGCAACCGUUUUACACACGGUAGGUUGAGUGUUCAAAUCACUCAUUCUUCA
rnacentral:tRNA from 1 species